rnacentral:rRNA from 1 species
GACGAACGCUGGCGGCGUGCUUAACACAUGCAAGUCGAGCGGUAAGGCCCUUUCGGGGGUACGACGAGCGGCGAACGGGUGAGUAACACGUGGGUGACCUGCCCUCAGCUCUGGGAUAAGCCUGGGAAACCGGGUACUAAUACCGGAUAUGACUCCAUGACGCAUGUUGUGGGGUGGAAAGCCUUGUGCGGCUGAGGAUGGGCCCGCGGCCUAUCAGCUUGUUGGUGGGGUGAUGGCCUACCAAGGCGACGACGGGUAGCCGGCCUGAGAGGGCGACCGGCCACACUGGGACUGAGACACGGCCCAGACUCCUACGGGAGGCAGCAGUGGGGAGUCUUGCGCAAUGGGCGAAAGCCUGACGCAGCGACGCCGCGUGA